GGAUGUGAGGGCGAUCUGGCUGCGACAUCUGUCACCCCAUUGAUCGCCAGGGUUGAUUCGGCUGAUCUGGCUGGCUAGGCGGGUGUCCCCCUCCUCCCUCACCGAUCCAUGUGCGUCCCUCCCGAAGCUGUGCGCUCGGUCGAAGAGGACGACCUCCCCCCGCUCCCCCCACCCAGGAGAGGACCGGUCUUCGGUCAAGGGUAUACGAGUAGCUGCGCUCCCCUGCUAGAACCUCCAAACAAGCUCUCAAGGUCCAUUUGUAGGAGAACGUAGGGUAGUCAAGCUUCCAAGACUCCAGACACAUCCAAAUGAGGCGCUGCAUGUGGCAGUCUGCCUUCCUUU
rnacentral:snRNA from 1 species